rnacentral:ncRNA from 1 species
GAAAGUCACUAGGGGUGCUAAUUUAGCUGAGAAAUACCCUCUGAACCUGAACGGGAUAAUACCUGCGCUAGGGAAGUGUUGAAAUAGAUUU